rnacentral:rRNA from 1 species
AUUGAACGCUGGCGGCGUGCUUAACACAUGCAAGUCGAUCGGUAACGCGGGGGCAACCCUGGCGACGAGAGGCGGACGGGUGAGGAACGCUUGGGAAUCUGCCUAUCAGCGGGGGACAACACGGGGAAACUCGUGCUAAUACCGCAUACGCUCUACGGAGGAAAGCCGGGGACCGCAAGGCCUGGCACUGAUAGAUGAGCCCAAGUCGGAUUAGCUAGUUGGCGGGGUAACGGCCCACCAAGGCGACGAUCCGUAGCUGGUCUGAGAGGACGAGCAGCCACACUGGGACUGAGACACGGCCCAGACUCCUACGGGAGGCAGCAGUGGGGAAUAUUGGACAAUGGGGGAAACCCUGAUCCAGCGACGCCGCGUGGGUGAAGAAGGCCUGCGGGUUGUAAAGCCCUUUCGGUAGGGACGAAAGCUCUCGACCUAACACGUCGGGAGGUUGACUUAACCUACAAAAGAAGCACCGGCUAACUCUGUGCCAGCAGCCGCAGUAA